GGUUAAAAGGUGUACCACUACUUAUUCUUGCCAAUAAACAAGAUCUAGAGGUUGUGUGAAAUAUGAAAUUUUCAGUUAUGUUAGAAUAUGAAACAACCUUAUUAUAUUGUAUAUAUUUGAGAUGUCAAGAUCUAAACCAUACAACACAGAAUAUUAUUUCUUUGUUUGCAUUUGCCAUAAUAUCUUUUUCCGUUGUGAUAUUUAAUGGUUACAAUGCCUUAUAAUUCCUAUAUUUCCCAAACAAUAAUUUAUAUAUUCCAUUAUAAUAAAGUAUGAAAUGUUGGUAAGUUGUUAUUUUUCUAGUUUGCUGAUAAUUUUUAUACGACUGCAAAAAUUGAAAUUGUUGGUCGUAUAUUGGUAUCACUUGGCGUCAUCGUCGUCGUCCGAAGACAUUGAUUUUUUCGCUCUAAACUUUAGUAAAAGUAAUGGAAAUCUAUGAAAUUUAAACACAAGGUUUAUGACAAUGAAGAAAGGUUGGAUUGAUUUUGGUUUUUGGUCUAACAUUUUUAUAGGAAUUAGGCCAAAAGGGCCCAAAAUAAGCAUUUUUCUUGGUUUUCGCACAAUAACCUUAGUAUCAGAGUUUAGUUAACAGAAAUCUAAUGAAAUUUUAACAUAAGGUCAUGACCACAAAAGGAAGGUUGGGAUGAUUUUGGAGUUUUAGUCCCAACAGUUUAGGAAUUAUGGGCCAAAAACAGGUCCCAAAUAAGCAUUUUUCUUGGUUUUUGCACAAUAAAUUUAGUAUAAGUUAAUAGAAAUCUAUGAAAUUUUAACACAAGGUUUAUGACCACAAAAAGAAGGUUUGGAUUGAUUUUGGAAGUUUUGGUCCCAACGAAUUAGGGGCCAAAAGGGUUCAAAAUUAAACUUUGUUUUAUUUCAUUAAAAAUUGAAUUAUUGGGGUUGUUUGAUAUGCCAAAUCUAACCAUAUAUUUAGAUUCUUAAUAUUUGGUCCUGUUUUCAAAUUGGUCUACAUUAAGGUCCAAAGGGUCCAAAAUUAAACUCAGUUUGAUUUUAAUAAAAAUUGAAUUCUUGGGGUUCUUUGAUAUGCUGAAUCUAAACAUGUACUAGAUUUUUGAUUAUUGGCCCAGUUUUCAAGUUGGUCCAAAUCGGGGUCCAAAAUUAAACAUUGUUUGAUUUCAACAAACAUUGAAUUCUUGGGGUUCUUUGAUAUACUGAAUCUAAACAUGUACUUCGAUUUUUUAUUAUGGCCCAGUUUUCAAGUUUGUCUAAAUCGUGGUUCAAAAUUAAAAUUUGUUUGAUAUCAACAAAAAUUGAAAAUUUGGGGUUCUUUGAUAUGCUGAAUCUAACCAUGUAUUUAGAUUUUCGAUAUUGAACCAUAAUAGGUAAUGUCCAAUUUAAAAUUUAAAGUUUUUUAAGUUUAAGUUCUUAGACCACAUUCAUUAUGUGUCAGAAACCUGCCCCAAUGUUCAGGGUUCAAACUCUGCAGUCGUAUAAAGCUGUGCCCUGCGGAGCAUCUGGUUAAAGUUUAAGUUCUUAGACCACAUUCAUUCUGUAUCAGAAACCUAUGUUUUGUCAACUAUUUAAUCAAAAUCCAAAUUCAGAGCUGUAUUAAGCUUAAAUGUUGUGUCCAUACUUGCCCCAACUGUUCAGGGUUCGACCUAUGUGGUUGUAUAAAGCCUACCCUGCAGAGCAUCUGGUUUUAUUUCUGUAACCGUAGUCUGUUGAGAAUAACCUUUUCAUUAAUUUAAUGUUAACCUCAUCAUUAAAUGAAUGUAAAUUAUCAAACCACUGCCUUAUGACCAUUUGUUCAUCUAUUACUAUACAUUUGCUUGGAUCUAUUAUUGCACAAGAUUUACAAGUUUUGUAAAUAAAAAUUCUAAUAAAUUCUUUUUUUAUUUUAAGGGUUGUAUGAAAGCUUCAGAAGUCAAAAAGGUGUUCAACAGUAGUGCACAACUGUUUGGAGAUAGAGAAUGCAAGUUUCUUGGUACAUCUGCACUCAAAGGGUAAUAAAUUAAAAUAUUAAUUUGUUUUAUUGUUCAUAUUAAAAUAUCUACAAAUUCCAGCACAAAAUAAUUUACACAUAUCCUUUCUUAAACAGUAAAAAGCCUUAUUAUAUUGAUUUAAGAAUGCAUAAUGUAAAAUAGUAUGAACAAAACAGGACAGUAACCCUACAACACCAAUAAAAAAAAUACAGAUCAUAAAAAGGAUCUCCUGAAAUACACAAGCAACAGCACCACAAUAUGCAGGGCUGUAAGGUGUUUGGAGUCUGACUAAGCGUGAAUAAAUUCAAAAGAACUGAACUAAACUGAACAGCUUAAUGUGAAAAAAAGUAUGAGACAAUAAAGUAUCAUGACCUAGGAAAGACAUUGACUUAGGUUAGGUAUAUUUAAAACAAAGUUUAUAACUUAAGUUAGAUACUUUAAGAAUAUCUCUGAUUUUAAUAAGGAUACUAGUCAUUAUAAUUUUAUAAUUACUGAGGAAAAGGGAAUGUGCUGCUUCAUAAUAGCAUUCAAAAUGAUGACAUUUGAUCAGCUGUCAUUGUUAAAAAUAUUGUGCUAUUAUGUAAUAUAUACCUUUUUAUUAGAAACACAUUUUAUAAAUGAUAGACCUCUUCAAGUGCUUGUAUUAUAUGAUUUAUUUUUGCCAGAGAUGGUGUCCAUGAAGGGAUAGAAUGGAUUAAAGAAGGAAUUAAAAGAAACAAUAUAGACAGACCUCCAAUGCAGAAAGAAAUAACUUAAAAUGCUCAUAUUAUUAUGUAAACAAAUGAAUGUUUAUUACAAGAUAGUCACAUGACAUCCCUUCUUCCAAUUAACAAUAGUAUGAAACCACCUUGCUGUAGUGUAUAUAUAUGCUAGAUACAUUUUGUAGUUGGUUGGUUCUUAUAUAACAAAAAGUAUACUUCAAAUGGAAGUUUAACAGCGAAAUCAAAAUAUAUAGUCAAAUGUUUAAUUCUUGAUGUAUCAUGUUCAGACACAAUUUUACCAAGGGUCUAAUAUGUUGAUGGUUUUUAUUAAUUUUUCAGUAAAUUCAAAGACCUUUAACUUUAGAAGCAGAAAUACAAUUGAAAUUAAAAUAUAAAUGUGGAAAAGAAUUUAAAGCUUGAUAUAAAAAGACUGAAUUCAAACAUAAUUGAAGUGGUUACAUUUUCUGACUAAUUGUGUAUCUGGAAAGUCCUGUUACUUCACCCUUUCCAUUUGGUAUACUGUUGACCUUACAUUCCAUACUUCUUAGCAGAUAAUAAGACUUCAGCUCUUAGUUGUGAUUCAGUAGAGGUUUUACAUUGUUUUUUUAUGAGAAUUCUUAUAAUUGUUGCUCUUGAAGAAUUACUCAUUUUUUUAAUUUCUUUAAUUUUUUGACAUUGGCAAUCAUGCAUAAUCACUUGCAUAGUAGUAAGAAUCAACAUGAUAUCCACUCUCAUGUACAUUAAGUUAUGUAGCAGUUCCUUAAAUCUCUUCUUGAUUUUUGUAUCAAACAUUGGAAACUUAACUGUAUGUUUACCAAAUUAUUUCUUUGGAUUCCAUAUAAAAAUCCUUGUCUGAUUUUGUGAGUCAAAUUUGUAGUAACUCACAUGGUUUUCAAGCUUUAAGGGACCAAAAACCAACACUUCUGUUUAUUAAAUUUUUGGGGAUUAUGUUACAUUUGAAUAAUAUUGUCUGUAGUCAGAUUUGCUGUUGCUAAAUAGUAUGUAAUGUAUAUUGAUUGGUAAACACUGUGUUUAAUAGCUGUAAUUUUAUUGUAAUAAUACUGCCUUUAAUUUAUGAAGUAAUGAUGUUUUUUUAUGAAACAUAUUUUGCAAUCUUAAACCCAUUAUGUAAAUAGAUAUGUUUAUGCUGAACACAAAUUGAGAUUAUGUCCCUGCACAAAUUUUCCUACAUAAAAGAAAAAAAUAAAGAUUUCCAAGUUGAUUGAUUAAUCAAAACCAAGUUUUUAAAAAUAAGAUAAGAGCAUGAUUAUUAAUAAAAUAGCAGUUUGCUGUAUAUAUGCAACAUAAUCGUUAUUGAAUUAAAUGAAAGGUCACUGGAACCAACUACCAGGUAAAGUUGUGCAUGCAGGUUCUGUAGAGGCAUUUAAGACCACUCUACAAGAACACCGCCCAUAAUAACGGCGCUCUUCUCGACCGUGUAUAAAAGCCUAAACAGGAUUCUACACGUACCACUACAGAUACAGAGACAGACAGUAAUGGUCCUCAACAAGUACAGAAUUUUCUUUAAUGUUAAUUAGUGCUUACUUAAUCUUAAAACAAAAUGAGAAUAUUUAAGUCAAACCUCAAAAAUUGGUACAUCUUCAGAAAAUAUGUUGUCUGAACUAUAUCUAAUAUAAUAUCAUCAAUGAAUGCUUAAAACUUGUCCUUAUAAAUAUAAUCCAGAUGUAUCAUAUGUUAAUGACAAAAUUCAUUAAGCAUAAUUAACAAGAGUGCACACACUGAAAUGUCUCGCCUUCUCUACUAAUCAUUGAUAUUAUGUUGAGUCCUAAGUAUAAAGUUAAGCAUUAUAACAACUGUCACAUAAACUUAACAUUAACCAAGAUAACUAAACAAAGACCAAUGAACCUUAAAAAUGAGGUCAAGGUCAGAUGAACCAUGCCAGGCAGACAUGUACAGCUAACAAUUGCUUUAUCACAACUAUAU
rnacentral:lncRNA from 1 species